rnacentral:rRNA from 1 species
CCUACGGGAGGCAGCAGUGGGGAAUAUUGGUCAAUGGGCACAAGCCUGAACCAGCCACGCCGCGUGAGUGAUGAAGGCCUUCGGGUUGUAAAGCUCUGUGGGGAGGGAAGAAAACGGCCGGGAAGAAACGACCGGUCCUUGACGGUACCUCCUUAGCAAGCACCGGCUAACUCUGUGCCAGCAGCCGCGGUAAUACAGAGGGUGCGAACGUUGCUCGGAAUUACUGGGCGUAAAGCGCGUGUAGGCGGGGCGGAAAGUCGGAUGUGAAAUCCCCGGGCUCAACCCGGGAACUGCAUCCGAAACUGCCGUCCUAGAGUAUCGGAGAGGGUGGCGGAAUUCCUGGUGUAGAGGUGAAAUUCGUAGAUAUCAGGAGGAACACCGGUGGCGAAGGCGGCCACCUGGACGAUUACUGACGCUGAGACGCGAAAGCGUGGGGAGCAAACAGGAUUAGAUACCCUUGUAGUC